UAGACUAGAUAAUUUUGUGCUGUUAAAAACCUUUUAGAAAACCACAAGUAUUUUUCUUAUAUUGUAAUAAGAGACCUAAGAAAGUAAAAUUAAAAGUGUAAAUUUUAUUGUAUGUAACAUUGUAUGGCUCGAUUCAAGGAGAACAAAGGCUGUUUGACCUACAAAUUCACACGUGUUUGGAACGAUUGGAGCUGUUACCAAGCUGGCACGGAAAACAGAGUGACGGAGGAACCUUCGCUGCAUCAAGUCUUUACAUAUCCCUCGAAAAUGGAUCAUCGAAGUUACCACAAAAUGCAAAUCUUUCUCAAACUGAUGUGUCACUUCCUCAUGUUUUAUUAGGUCAUGGCGCGUAUCCUUUAAAGACUUAUCUGAUGAAACCACAUUCAAAAAGAGAUUUAUCAAGGGUAGAACACAUUUAUUAUUGCAGAGAAUAGUAGAACGUGCCUUCGGUAUAAUUGCUGCCAAAUGGAGGUUACUCAGUAAGUGUACUGAAACUGGACCAGAUAAAGAUGAUUUAAUCGUAAAGUGCAUAUGCUUGUUACAUAAUAUUAUUAUUGAGAAGGAAAGUAUUUAUGAUCCAUCUAUUACAUCGUCGACACCACAAAAUGCAAGCAUAAUAAAUAUAAACAAUCACAAUCAAAUAAUAGGUCAGCACAACAGGCUUGUGACAUCAGAGAUGCACUUAAAAACUAUUUUAACAGUAGUGAAGGUAACAUUAUUCAACAGUUCGACGUUCCCUAAAUAUCCGUGCCACACACAAUCCACUGCUUCAACAAACAUAAAUGUAGAAUGUGUAGCAAAGAAACGUUUGUAAUAAACUUAAAUUGCAAUAUUUA